ensembl:lncRNA
GCACAGGAGGGGUGGAUGAAAGAUGUUGACUAGGGUGACAAAAGCAGACAUUAGCGAUAAGAUGCUUGGGUUCUUUUGUUGCUCCAGGACUCUGAACCCAGUGAUUAAGACUGUGACUAGAGCCAGAUGUGGUGGUUCAUGCCUGUAAUCUCAGCACUUUGGGAGGCUGAGGCGGGCAGAUCAUCUGAGGUCAGGAGUUUGAGACCAGCCUGGCUAACAUGGUGAAACCCUGUCUCUACUAAAAAUACAAAAAAUUAGCUGGGUGUGGUGGCAGGAGCCUGUAAUCCCAGCUACUCAGAAGUUUGAGGCAGGAAAAUUGCUUGAACCCAGGAGGUGGCGGUGGCAGUGAGCUGAGAUAGCACCACUGCACUCCAGCCUCGGCGACAGAGAGAGACUCAGACUCUUAUGACUAGAUACCUCUGUGGGGAAAAAACUGGGAGUUUUUCCAGGCGAGACUAGGUUGGGGAGGCACAGGGGGACAGGGACUAGGGGUGGGCACUGACAGGAGAGUGUCAGGAAUCCAGAUUAAGCAGAUCAGUGGGAAGGAAUUUCCCCCACUCUUGCUAAUGUCUUCUCUUCCAAAAGUUCUUGAGUUUUUCUCAAUUUAUUUUUGGCAUUUUUGGAGGCACCAGAAUGCUACGACAAAAUGUAACAACCCCAGAUAGGAAGUUAAAAGGAAAACAAGAUCCUCUGGGGUGUCCUAAACAUUGACCUCAUUUUAUCUGCUCACUCAGGCCACCCCCAUGUCUUUCCUUUCUCUCCCCUUUGCUGCCUUGUACCUACCUCUCGAGAGGAAAGGGGUGCCUGAAGCUUCUCAGCUCAAGGGCCUGGAAGUUAGAGGAGAGAACCAUCCGGGGUGGGAGCUGUGGGUGGGAGUGUCAGCUUCCUGGGAUGGCCUUCCCAGAUGUAAGCACAUCUGGAGCCCAUCAGGAAGGGACCUGGAGCACCAGGAUUCCCAGUGCACAUCCGACUGGGGCUGUGAGGGGUUGAGGAUGAGCCAGGCGUUUCCUCCCACCUCUACAAGUCCGACUGCCAUUUCCAGCCCUCUCUUGGGAAGGAUUAUCAAUCCCAGACAGAAAGGGCAUCGGAAGAGGCUGGGGAGGAAGGCAGGAGGCCACAGAUUGCACUCCAAACCCAGACAUGCUAUGUUACUAGCCUCAGCUCUUUCUGGCUUUAUAGAGAUAACAGCAUCUCUGAUCAGGUAGGAAUCAGGGUGUGUGUGUGUGUUUGUAGAGCAUAGUGUGCCAUUAGUCCUUAACACAAUGGCACAAAGUUGGGGAUGGGGCCCAGCAUGUCCCUCUCCUUGGUUUUCAUAAGUCUUCCUCAUGAGUUCUCUGGACCUCUAGCGCUCCUCAUCUCUCUACCCCCAAACAAACACAUACACUCCUUCCUUGGCUGCAAAUUCCUCGCUGUCCAUCAUCACCUCACAAUGAGCACAUUUGUUUUCCAGGGAUCAUGUACAGGACUAAGAAGAAUAGGUCCAUCCCCUUGCCUUUCUCUUCAGGGAGAGCUAACCUGUUAGGGUGCUGAACUAGGGGAUAAGUGGGGUUUACAGCAAUUCCUGCAAAGGUUCCAGGUGUCCCCAGCAGCCAGUGCAUAAAAGUAAAAUGGAGAGUCUUGGGCUGAUAUUUAUGAGCCCGGUGACACAGAGCACUCCUGGGAAGCAGAGCCCCCUCCGUUUCUUCCAGAGCUAUAACUUGAGGAGGCACAAAGCCUUAGAAGAUUCUUAACCCCUGGACUCCAAGGUUGAGGCUUACUAAAUUGAGAUAAUAGUAUAAAAGAAGGUAAUGUUGUAUACAGUUUAUACAUUCACAAUUCACAAGUGGUUACUUCUGGGUCUAAUGUACAAAAAUGUAUUGAGCUUCCUGCUUUACCUGUAGUAAGUAAGAAUACCCACACCCCCCACCUCUGGCCUCAGUCCUUGAUUGGAUUCAAAGCCCUAAGGGAGAAGCCAAGAGGAGGAGCUUUCUGACCCUUCGGUUUAUAUUCCCUUCAACAGAUGUCCAGCAGUUGGGAUUUUGGAUGCCUUCUUCCAGUCUCUAAUCUACAUGUGGCUAGAGGGUUCCAGAUGAUAGAAUUGUGGAACUGGGAGGUAGGGUUAGGGCUUCCAGGUCUCUCAGAUAGAAAAGGGGUGUGUGAUGAGAUUGACCUGGAAAGAAGAGAAGUUUGGGGUUUGAUUAAAGAGCUGCGUGCCUAGGAACAGGAACAGUGGAAUGGUACUCCAAGCUUUCACCUCUAGGGAGAGCGGCCCUCCCUUCAGGCCACACUCUUCCACCCAGUCGGCCACAGCUGGCCACACCCCCACAGCUGGCUGGGAAAUCUCAACCCUACCCCUCUCUAGAAGCCGAUUGCUUACAGAUGUUCUAGGAAGGGGGGGUUGUUGAGAGGAGGAAGGGCAGGAUAGGGGUAAAGGGAAGGAAAACUCAAGGAAGGAGGGAAGACUCACUGAAGGGAGAGAGGAAGUUGUGGUCAGGUGGGGAAGCCUGUCAGAUGGUGAAGAAGUCAGAGAGAAAGAAACAGUUGAAGAAAGAACGAGAGAAAAUGAAAAAAAAGGGUCUCAUUUUCCCCUGAAAUCCACCCUACUCUUUGCGGGCAAAUUAAUCUUCCUAAACUAAGGCUCUGAUGAUGUUACUUCUCAGAUCAAAACCUUUCGUGUUGGCCAGGCGCGGUCGCGCAAGCCUGUAAUCUCAGCACUUUGGGAGGCCGAGACGGGCGGAUCACAAGGUCAGGAGAUCGAGACCAUCCUGGCUAACACCGUGAAACCCCGUCUCUACUAAAAAAUACAAAAACUAGCUGGGCGAGGUGGUGGGUGCCUGUAGUCCCAGCUACUCGGGAGGCUGAGGCAGGAGAAUGGCGUGAACCUGGGAGACAGAGUUUGCAGUGAGCUGAGAUCCCGCCACUGCACUCCAGCCCGGGCAAGAGAGCGAGACUCAGUCUCAAAAAAAAAAAAAAAAAAAA